rnacentral:rRNA from 1 species
AGAGUUUGAUCCUGGCUCAGGAUGAACGCUGGCGGCGUGCCUAAUACAUGCAAGUCGAGCGAACGGACGAGAAGCUUGCUUCUCUGAUGUUAGCGGCGGACGGGUGAGUAACACGUGGAUAACCUACCUAUAAGACUGGGAUAACUUCGGGAAACCGGAGCUAAUACCGGAUAAUAUUUUGAACCGCAUGGUUCAAAAGUGAAAGACGGUCUUGCUGUCACUUAUAGAUGGAUCCGCGCUGCAUUAGCUAGUUGGUAAGGUAACGGCUUACCAAGGCAACGAUGCAUAGCCGACCUGAGAGGGUGAUCGGCCACACUGGAACUGAGACACGGUCCAGACUCCUACGGGAGGCAGCAGUAGGGAAUCUUCCGCAAUGGGCGAAAGCCUGACGGAGCAACGCCGCGUGAGUGAUGAAGGUCUUCGGAUCGUAAAACUCUGUUAUUAGGGAAGAACAUAUGUGUAAGUAACUGUGCACAUCUUGACGGUACCUAAUCAGAAAGCCACGGCUAACUACGUGCCAGCAGCCGCGGUAAUACGUAGGUGGCAAGCGUUAUCCGGAAUUAUUGGGCGUAAAGCGCGCGUAGGCGGUUUUUUAAGUCUGAUGUGAAAGCCCACGGCUCAACCGUGGAGGGUCAUUGGAAACUGGAAAACUUGAGUGCAGAAGAGGAAAGUGGAAUUCCAUGUGUAGCGGUGAAAUGCGCAGAGAUAUGGAGGAACACCAGUGGCGAAGGCGACUUUCUGGUCUGUAACUGACGCUGAUGUGCGAAAGCGUGGGGAUCAAACAGGAUUAGAUACCCUGGUAGUCCACGCCGUAAACGAUGAGUGCUAAGUGUUAGGGGGUUUCCGCCCCUUAGUGCUGCAGCUAACGCAUUAAGCACUCCGCCUGGGGAGUACGACCGCAAGGUUGAAACUCAAAGGAAUUGACGGGGACCCGCACAAGCGGUGGAGCAUGUGGUUUAAUUCGAAGCAACGCGAAGAACCUUACCAAAUCUUGACAUCCUUUGACAACUCUAGAGAUAGAGCNNNNNNNNNNNNNNNNNNNNNNNNNNUUCCCCUUCGGGGGACAAAGUGACAGGUGGUGCAUGGUUGUCGUCAGCUCGUGUCGUGAGAUGUUGGGUUAAGUCCCGCAACGAGCGCAACCCUUAAGCUUAGUUGCCAUCAUUAAGUUGGGCACUCUAAGUUGACUGCCGGUGACAAACCGGAGGAAGGUGGGGAUGACGUCAAAUCAUCAUGCCCCUUAUGAUUUGGGCUACACACGUGCUACAAUGGACAAUACAAAGGGCAGCGAAACCGUGAGGUCAAGCAAAUCCCAUAAAGUUGUUCUCAGUUCGGAUUGUAGUCUGCAACUCGACUACAUGAAGCUGGAAUCGCUAGUAAUCGUAGAUCAGCAUGCUACGGUGAAUACGUUCCCGGGUCUUGUACACACCGCCCGUCACACCACGAGAGUUUGUAACACCCGAAGCCGGUGGAGUAACCUUUUAGGAGCUAGCCGUCGAAGGUGGGACAAAUGAUUGGGGUGAAGUCGUAACAAGGUAGCCGUAUCGGAAGGUGCGGCUGGAUCACCU